UCGAGUGUAAAAACUCCCAACCCUUUGUGAACCUUACCAAAGUUGCUUCGGCGGUGCCGCCCCGGGCGCUGACUCGCUCAGUGCCCCGGAACCAGGCGCCCGCCGGGGGACCGAAACUCUUGUAUUACCUAUGGUAUUCUCUGAGUGGAUUUAAACAAAUCAAAUCA
rnacentral:misc_RNA from 1 species